rnacentral:rRNA from 1 species
CUUUACUCCUACGUGGAGGCAGCAGUGGGGAAUAUUGCACAAUGGGCGAAAGCCUGAUGCAGCGACGCCGCGUGAGGGAUGACGGCCUUCGGGUUGUAAACCUCUUUCAGUAGGGAAGAAGCCCUCUUUGGGGGUGACGGUACUUGCAGAAGAAGCGCCGGCUAACUACGUGCCAGCAGCCGCGGUAAUAAAC